UAGGCUACACAGUCAGUAUUUUUAUUUGAUUAUUAUUAGCUAUUCAUACAUGCCUACAGUUUAUUGCAUACAAUACAAAGACGGUUCAUCUCUUUAUCUAGAAACCCAAAUUCUUUACAAGCAGAUCUGACCAGAAUUCUAUACAACAGUUUUUAUUUAAAACACACAUAAUGUUACUUAUACAAAUCACAACGAUAGAGAUACAGAGUUAAAGUGACAUGGUUUGAGUUCAAUUGACUUUGGCUACAUCUCAUAUUCUUAUAUGCUAGUGCACUAAAUGGAGAAUAGGGUAUUAUUUGCGACUGAGCCUUAGAAUGUGUAUAUUUCCCAUGUCGGUAUCAAUAGUUCCGAUACAUUCUAGUUCAGAAUGUAAAUGAGAACGUUAUUGUCAUGGAACGUUUGAUGCUGAAAUGGAUUUAACAGAACUCUGUUCAUCUAUCCACCUCAUUGUCGAACGUUGCUAUGGGCACGGCCAAACAACGGAAGUGAAGGAUUCGACUUCUGCUUUACUUACCACUGCAACGCGCUGGUGGCAAUCUUGCCAGAGUAAAUUAUUGGAAAGAGACAAUUUAUAGAGUAUAACAGUCAAGUAUAAGUGUAAUUGAGUACGUGUAAUUGUAUAUGUAUUUCAUUCAAGUAGGCUAGUUCUGUUGUGAUAAUACUGUUAGUUGUGUUGUGUCAGAGUUUAGGCCCGGGCCAUCCACCCAAUAACUAUAACGAUAACUAUAAACUAUAGGCUGCACAAUUAUAAAACGUCGCUGAGCAUCCAUACUAGAGGAAAGUGUAUCGUUUAUCGUUCUACAGUCCUACACCUGUCAAUCAACUGAUCAAACCAAUCUACUGCACGCUUCCUAUCAAUAAGGUGGUAACACAAGACCAUUCAUGAGGUCUCUAACACACAGAAUCUGGUUCAGACCAUUCAUGAGGUCUCUAACACACAGAAUCUGGUUCAGACCAUUCAUGAGGUCUCUAACACACAUAAUCUGGUUCAGACCAUUCAUGAGGUCUCUAACACACAGAUACCAGUUCAGACCAUUCAUGAGGUCUCUAACACACAGAAUCUGGUUCAGACCAUUCAUGAGGUCUCUAACACACAGAAUCUGGUUCAGACCAUUCAUGAGGUCUCUAACACACAUAAUCUGGUUCAGACCAUUCAUGAGGUCUCUAACACACAGAUACCAGUUCAGACCAUUCAUGAGGUCUCUAACACACAGAAUCUGGUUCAGACCAUUCAUGAAGUCUCUAACACACAUAAUCUGGUUCUGACCAUUCAUGAGGUCUCUAACACACAGAAUCUGGUUCAGACCAUUCAUGAGGUCUCUAACACACAGACACUGGUUCAGAUCAUUCAUGAGGUCUCUAACACACAGAAUCUGGUUCAGACCAUUCAUGAGGUCUCUAACACAAAGAUACUGGUUCAGAUCAUUCAUGAGGUCUCUAACACACAGAAUCUGGUUCAGACCAUUCAUGAGGUCUCUAACACACAUAAUCUGGUUCAGACCAUUCAUGAGGUCUCUAACACACAGAUACUGGUUCAGACCAUUCAUGAGGUCUCUAACACACAGAUACUGGUUCAGACCAUUCAUGAGGUCUCUAACACACAGAAUCUGGUUCAGACCAUUCGGUGCUUUCAGGGUGUGUUCAUUGUCAUAGUGACAACUGCAAAUUAUAAUAUGUGAAUCAAGGCCUAAUGAAAAGCAAUAUAGUACCUCAAAUUUAAAUGUAGCAAUUCAACAACAAACACUGUUUAGCCUGCACAUAUUUUACAGCAUGUAUUUGCCCUCUUGCUCAAGUGGGUUGCAAGUGAUUUUUUGAGGUCUUCUUUUUUACAGUUCUCAUCUCUGUAUGUCCUCUGAAACUAUUUGCAAUGUAUCAGUGCAACAAUAUUAUCAUAACCGGCCAAAAGUGAUCACACGAUUUCCUCAACUUUCCCCAACAUGCGUUUUCUAUGCUGUAGGCCUGUUUUACAUUCGGCAAUUAGCAAGAGCAAGCCUGCUUCUUUCCCAUCGAACAGACUAUUAGGCCUAGUAUAAAAAAGGAUCAAACUACAUGUGCUAUAGCUGUUGUAAGUAAGAAGGUAAAUAUUAGCUAGAUAUUAGGCCAUAAAAUUAUUAUACCUGAUAUUAUUGUUAUCAAGUGAGUACACAAUUAUUGUCUAUAUGCUGUAAACUGCAGUGAUGUAGGCUAAUUAGAAUAACCGCUCACACAUCCUGUUUUGUUUCAUACCGAAAUAACUGCAUACAGUAGCGUACCAGCCUAGGCCUGAGUAUGCAGCCAUUUGGAUCAGUCUGGGUCUAUUCUUGACAGUUUAGAAGGUCCAGAAAGGUACAUUAUUAGGUCACUCAUACGGUGUAGGCCUAUUUAGUCAGGAUGUAGUCCGCUGGUUAACAGGAUAGGACAAUACGGGCUCCUCCUUUCCAACUCCCUGCCCGUUCUUAACGCUGUAGCCUAUUUCACAUCCAGCAAGCAGGCCGCAAGCGUGCAUCUCUCCUCCAAUAGGAUAUUAGUAGGCUAAAGAAAAUAAGUCGAAAUACCUGUCAAAUAAGUUUUUGUAGACUGGCUUUUCCUUGGACUCCACAAUAUUUAAAAGGAAUAGCCGUGGCAGCGGAGAGGAUAAGUGCGUAAUUGCUCAUCAGAGCAAUGAAGACAGACAGACAGGCUGGGGAUGUACUGUGACCUACAGCCUAAGUUAGAAGCUUAUGCAUAUCAGACCAUAAUUCAUGAGCUCAAUGUUAGGCAUAAUACUGCAGUCAAUUUAUCCAGUCAAUUUACACAGUGAAAGAAAAAGUGCUUUUCAGAUAGUGAAAUCAUAGUUAGCGCUCCCGAUUCUGCGCUGAGUGCGGUCCCUCCAAGUCCGUGGGUACAUUGUUUUUUAGGGACAAGAAAUGUACCCUACCUAGGCUACAACAACACAAUGCAAUGAAGUAUGUUAUUAUUGUUUUCAAGUGCGUAGAAAACUCUAGUCUGGGCCAUAAACUGCAGUGAAUACCCUAUGUCAUUUGAAUAACCGCUCAAAAGCCUGGCUUUUAAAAUACAUAUUAAUUUGGAAAUAAAUGAAACUAACAUGCCUGACUGGACAACCAUUUGGAUCUGUUAUGUUUUUGUUAUGAGCAGUUCAGCCUACAAGGUCCAGGCACAUCAGCAGGACAAUAACACACGGUGUAUUUUGUCAUGAUUUCUCCGCUAACAGAAACAUGCUAAUGCAGGAGUUCCUAGUGGCGCGCAUAUGAAUUAUGAUAAUGCGCAAGCGCGGAGAAACAUGUAUCCAUAGUUUCCGCGUUUGGCGUCAUAUUUUAAAAGCGUUCGAAAAUGAGGUGGAUAACUCCCUAUACAAACAUUUAGAUAAUCAAUUUCACAUUCACAGCUGUUCUUCUACUGUACACUGAAGUUUCUCUUAGAUACAGAUCUAGGAUCAGCUUACCCAUCCUCCAAUCGUAACCUUAACUAUUAGCGGGAAAACUUAACUUAACUUAACUAGCGGGAAAACCACAAAACUGCUCUUAGAUCAUUGUCUAGGAUUCAACUUCAUCCCCAAGUCGAGCUGUAUGUAUACUUAGUUUAGAUGUGCUAUUUAAUGGUGCAGUGUCCCUUUUUAUUUGCUAUCCGUGGCACAUUGAAACAACGCAAAAGAAAGUAUUUUCAGUGUCUGUCUUUCUCCAUGCCUUUCUUCGUUAGUUUAAAACCCAUACUUUAAAAAAAAUGUUAGGACUAUAUCCUCUGCAAGUGUGGUCUCAAUAUCAUUUUUCCCUGGGGGCCAUAUUACUUAAAUCGGCUCAGGGGCCACUUUUGGAUCAUGGGCCUGUAGUUUAAGACCCCUGAUCUACAAGCACUGAGCAGAUACAGUAAGCAUUGUGAAUAACGUUAGAUGGAGGAACUUAGGCAUCUGUGCAGAUGUACAAAGCUACUUCAUAUAGUACACCACAAGCAGAGGCUUCAGUACAGAAUAAAACUUGUCUAAUAUUGUGAUUGAUGACUACAUUUCCCACAAUUCAUCUUGCGCUGAAAACUUGCCCUUGAAAAUAAGUCAACCCACUACAUCAUACUCAAAUCUCACUGACCCUCAUACAGAGUAGCUGUUGCUUAUGUAAAACUAUGUCGUGUUUCAUUUGAUAUGUUU
rnacentral:lncRNA from 1 species